AUGAGUAACGUUAUUUUUCAGACAAACUGCACCAAUUUAAACCUCCAUUUAAUCCAAAAUAAACAUCAUUCCCAUGAGUCAAAAAUAGCCACAAUAUCACUACUAAAAAUAUUCCUUCAUACAACCUGUGAUUAUUUUGUAUCAAAUCAAUUCAAAAAACAUUGGCAAUCUAUAUACAAAACUAUUCAAACUCAUUCACACACGACAACCAAAUAUACUUGUGUAUUGUGCUUGUGUUUUUGCAGAUUGAAAAAGAAGAAGAAAGAUUGGAAACAGAGUCAAAAUCAAUCGCAUAUGUCUCUUCUCCUAUCGAAGCCACUAUAG